GAUGAAGAACGCAGCGAAAUGCGAUAAGUAAUGUGAAUUGCAGAAUUCAGUGAAUCAUCGAAUCUUUGAACGCACAUUGCGCCCGGUAGUAUUCUGCCGGGCAUGCCUGUUCGAGCGUCAUUUCAACCAUCAAGCCCCCGGCUUGUGUUGGGGACCUGCGGCUGCCGCAGGCCCUGAAAAGCAGUGGCGGGCUCGCUGUCACACCGAGCGUAGUAGCAUACAUCUCGCUCUGGGCGUGCUGCGGGUUCCGGCCGUUAAACCACCUUCAUAACCCAAGGUUGACCUCGGAUCAGGUAGGAAGACCCGCUGAACUUAAGCAUAUCAAUAAGCGGAGGA
rnacentral:misc_RNA from 1 species